rnacentral:piRNA from 1 species
UGGACUCCGAAGCACAUGAGAAGAGGCC